UACGAUGUAGAAAGAUAUGUCCCAUGU
rnacentral:piRNA from 1 species